CAGAACACACCCAACUGACUCCUGUAAAAGAAGCAAUAUAAUCACAGUGCCAUGAAGCUCUUGAUGCUGAACCUUGGAGGUGUAGUUAUCACUGCUGAGUUGUAAGCAAGAGAACUUGUUAGAGUUUCACCAUGCUGGAAGGCCAGAGAAAAGAGUUGGCCUCUAGAACUCUCUACCUCAAAGAGGUUCCUACAGCUUGCUGUUGGUACAAACUGAAGCAUUCAGCCCUUCAUGGAAUCAAUGGAGUCUAUAACUUUAAUGUAUAAAUAUGCUUAAAAAGAUUCUGGGACCUUCAUUGAUUGACACAAUAUGAUGAAUUGUCCUAAUCCUCUGUA
rnacentral:lncRNA from 1 species